ACUCUCAACCCCGGUGAAUUUACAACGGUUUGGUGAAUCCGCUUUACAUCGGUGCAUGCAGCGGUGAAUUUAACAACACAUCCAACGUUGGAUAAGCCUGCAGCCGACAGUGACUGUUAGAAAACACAUGACAAAGCCACUCCCCACCAAGGCAAGAUCCUUCUGUGCCAGUGAAACCAUGGUGAAGGGUUUAGGAACCCGGAAGUUAAGUGCUCCCCCUCAACAACAGCUUUUGGCUGGUUACGGAUAAACAGAGGAAGAUGUUGGCCUGUGUGCAAUUAUUUCUUUAGCUUUCUUUUUUCAGUUUAAAGGUAAAACAAUAAUACAAAACAUAAAUAAACUGGAGAAUGGAUACAGAAAGAACCACGGCAAAACAAAAUUCUUCCUUGGAGAUUACCCAGAGUUUGGAAGAAGACCCUCUUGUUGAUGGUCCUCUCAUUACCCCUGAUGUCCUGAACUCUGCAAUAAGACCACAGUUUCAGUCUUUACCUACUUCAUGGCUGGCAAUUUUCCUCACCUGCAUACAUGCAGCCUUCUUUGGUCUCUCUGUUGCUCUUGCUGUUUUUUGUUCGAUUAAGGAGAAUGUAGUUAAUUGCCAGCAAUACAUUCAUGAUUUUGAGACUCAAACUAUAAUUGCUAUUGCCAAGGUGGCUCUGUGGCUCCUAAUAGCUGUUUUUGAACGUUAUGUUCAGCACCAUCACAGCAGGACCAGAAACAGAGGCUACCUGCAGUUUUACCGAUCCACAAGGAACCUCAAACGUCUUCCAUUCGUCAUACACAGUGCAGGUAAUGCAGCCUUUCUGCUCAUUUUGUCAGCAAGGCUGUCAUUUAAAAGUAAUGAACAGUCGUUAAUGUACAUGUACCUCAUCCUGGGUGUCCUAGUGCUGGAGCUCUGCUUUUCAGUCCCAUGCCUUCUCUUUUAUACAGUGAAGGUAAUGCAGUUCAAUACAGAGAAACCAGCACCAGACAUCAAUCAGGAAGAGCGCUCAAAUGCUUAUUCAAGUAUCAGAAGCCUCAUUAACACAGAGAUCGGCUUCAGGGAUAGCUCAAGUGUGGAAGAAGUUGUGGAGAAACAAGCAGAUUUAAUAGAGUAUCUGAAGCAACACAAUACAUUACUUAGUAAACGACUUCUGUCCUUGACGUCACAGCAGAUCCAGGAAUGACGAAGCUUAAAAUAAAAUGGUGAUCAUACAGAUGAAUACACAUUUGACAAACAAACAACUCCUAGAAGAAAAUAGCCAUGUAAACAGUGAUUGUCCAUCUGGAUGAGCAAGAAGACAAUCUGAACAAAGCUGUAGCUACCCCCCUCAUACAUGGGAGGGAGGGAGGAAUAUAUAAAAACUGAUACACUUUGCAUUGCACAUAUUGCCCCCACAUGUAGAAAGUAAGGGAACUGACAGGAAGACCCCCCUCCCAACACACUUUUUGCACAUACUUUAGGGCCCCGGUAACACUGGUCUUCUGCUUGCAACUAUUUGGCUGAAUAGUACGUAAACUAACUGCAAAGUGGCACCCAUUCAAACUGCAUCUGUAAGCUGUUAAGCUUAAUGAGUUGCUUUUGUGCCAUGAUAUUUUCCUGGGUGCUAAGAACAUCCUGGGUUUGGAAACUAUCUACUAACACAUUAGGAGUUUGGGUAUAAAAAAGACAAUUUGCUUAACACAGGUACUUGUAAUAGGUCAAAUACAUAUAAUAUGGUUUAUUAAAUAUAUGGGUCUGUUUACAGUUUUCAGUAAGGAAACAUGAUCUGAGAUCUUUGAGUC